GAUGAACGCUGGCGGCGUGCCUAAUACAUGCAAGUCGAGCGAACAGACGAGGAGCUUGCUCCUCUGACGUUAUCGGCGGACGGGAGAGUAACACGGGGAUAAACUACCUAUAAGACUGGGAUAAUUUCGGGAAACCGGAGCUAAGGCCGGAUAAUAUAUUGAACCGCAUGGGUCAAUAGUUGAAGACGGUUUUGCUGUCGCUUAUAGCUGGAUCCGCCCCGCAUUAGUUAGUGGGUACGGUAACGGCUUACCAAGGCAACGAUGCGUAGCCGACCUGAGAGGGUGAUCGGCCACCCUGGCACUGAGACAGGGUCCCGACUCCUACACGAGGAAGCAGCAGGGAAUCUUACGCAAUGGGGGAAAGCCUGACGUAGGACCGCGGCGUGAGUGAUGAAGGUCUAAUGCCCGUUAAGCUCUGUUAUCCGGAGAGAACAAAUGUGUAAGUAACUGUGCUCGUCUUGACGGUACCUAGUCAAAAAGCCCCGGCUAACUACGUG
rnacentral:rRNA from 1 species